GACGAACGCUGGCGGCGUGCUUAACACAUGCAAGUCGAACGGAAAGGCCCUGCUUUUGUGGGGUGCUCGAGUGGCGAACGGGUGCGUAACACGGGAGUAACCUGCCCUUGACUUUGGGAUAACUUCAGGAAACUGGGGCUAAUACCGGAUUGGAGCACCUGCUGCAUGGUGGGGGUUGGAAAGUUUCGGCGGUUGGGGAUGGACUUGCGGCUGAUCCGUCUGAUGGUGGUGUAGUGGCUUACCAAGGCUUUGACGGGUAGCCGGCCUGAGAGGGUGACCGGCCACAUUGGGACUGAGAUACGGGCCAGAGUCCUACGGGAGGCAGCAGUAGGGAAGAUUGCACGAUGGGCGGAAGCCUGAUGCAGCAACGCCGCGUGCGGGAUGACGGCCUGCGGGUUGAAAACCGCUUUGGGCGGUGACGGAGCGUGAGUGAAGGUAAUGGAUAAAGAAGCACCGGCUAACUACGUG
rnacentral:rRNA from 1 species